rnacentral:rRNA from 1 species
GUCCAGACUCCUACGGGAGGCAGCAGUGGGGAAUAUUGCACAAUGGGGGAAACCCUGAUGCAGCGACGCCGCGUGAGUGAAGAAGUAUUUCGGUAUGUAAAGCUCUAUCAGCAGGGAAGAAAAUGACGGUACCUGACUAAGAAGCCCCGGCUAACUACGUGCCAGCAGCCGCGGUAAUACGUAGGGGGCAAGCGUUAUCCGGAUUUACUGGGUGUAAAGGGAGCGUAGACGGCAGCGCAAGUCUGAAGUGAAAUCCCAUGGCUUAACCAUGGAACUGCUUUGGAAACUGUGCAGCUGGAGUGCAGGAGAGGUAAGCGGAAUUCCUAGUGUAGCGGUGAAAUGCGUAGAUAUUAGGAGGAACACCAGUGGCGAAGGCGGCUUACUGGACUGUAACUGACGUUGAGGCUCGAAAGCGUGGGGAG